GCCCGGGCGUGGUGGCACGCGCCUGUAAUCCCAGCUACCCGGAGGCUGAGGUGGGAGGAUCGCUUGAGUCCAGGAGUUCUGGGCUGCAAUGCGCUAUGCCGAUCGGGUGUCCGCACUAAGUUUGGCGUCAAUAUGGUGACCUCCCAGGAGCGGGGGACCACCAGGUUGCCUAAGGAGGGGUGAACCGGCCCAGAUUGGAAAAGGAGCAGGUCAAAAAACAUGUACAGUGUUUAAAGCCAAAAAACAGGGCUGAGGAUUUAGCUCAGUGGCUUUGCCCCCUGCCUCAU
ensembl:misc_RNA Metazoa_SRP Metazoan signal recognition particle RNA